ACCUCUUUUUCUCGCUUUCCUCUGAUUUACUGGGCGUAAAGCGUGCGUAGGCGGCUUUUUAAGUCGGAUGUGAAAUCCCUGAGCUUAACUUAGGAAUUGCAUUCGAUACUGGGAAGCUAGAGUAUGGGAGAGGAUGGUAGAAUUCCAGGUGUAGCGGUGAAAUGCGUAGAGAUCUGGAGGAAUACCGAUGGCGAAGGCAGCCAUCUGGCCUAAUACUGACGCUGAGGUACGAAAGCAUGGGGAGCAAACAG
rnacentral:rRNA from 1 species